rnacentral:rRNA from 1 species
CCCUUAGAUGUCCUGGGCUGCACGCGCGCUACACUGAUGUGUCCAGUAAGCACCUAACCUAUUCCGAGAGGAGCGGGUAACCUUAGCAAAGCACAUCGUGAUGGGGAUAGAUUAUUGCAAUUAUUAGUCUUGAACGAGGAAUUCCUAGUAAGCACAAGUCAUCAGCUUGUGUUGAUUACGUCCCUGCCCUUUGUACACACCGCCCGUCGCUCCUACCGAUUGAAUGUUCCGGUGAGCUCUUCGGACUGCGCGGUCUGCAGUUUCUGCGUUCCGUGCGGAAAGUUGUGCAAACCUUAUCAUUUAGAGGAAGGAGAAGUCGUAACA